UACGUAGGGUGCAAGCGUUGUCCGGAAUUACUGGGCGUAAAGAGCUCGUAGGUGGUUUGUCACGUCGUCUGUGAAAUUCCACAGCUUAACUGUGGGCGUGCAGGCGAUACGGGCUGACUUGAGUACUGUAGGGGUAACUGGAAUUCCUGGUGUAGCGGUGGAAUGCGCAGAUAUCAGGAGGAACACCGAUGGCGAAGGCAGGUUACUGGGCAGUUACUGACGCUGAGGAGCGAAAGC
rnacentral:rRNA from 1 species